GGGGAUUAAGCUCAGUGGUAGAGCACUUGCCUAGGAAGCACAAGGUCCUGGGUUCGGUCCCCAGCUCCG
rnacentral:tRNA from 1 species